CCCAAGUAGAUUCAGAAACAACAAUAGACUUCUAUUACUAUAUACUGGCAAUAAUAACCACACAGCUAACAUAUUACUUACUAUGUUUGUGUCCCAAAUAGAACCCUAUUCUCUACAUAGUGCACCCUAUGGGCCCUGGUCAAAAGAAGUGCUCUAUAUAGGGAAUAGGGUGUCAUUUGAGACACAUUCUAUAUAUAUAUAUUUCCAUAUACGGGGCAAUUUUUAUGCUGCUAUAAUGACUUGGCUGGUGAAAGCCUGCAUGGCUAACUGAUGACUUACUUCUACAAUAUUUAUAGGUAUAGUUUUACUUCUCAUUUCCCAUUUUUUGGCAAUUUCAAGCAUCGUUUACCCACCGACCAACUGCACUAACCAUUACAGCAUUUAUAUAUUUCUUUCCAGAGAUGGCAUGUUGGAAGAGGUUAUAGGAGUGUGUGUGUGUGUGUGUGCCUGCUCCCAUGUGUGCUGUUUGUGUGUGUGUGCCUGUUUGUGUGUGUCUGCUCCCAUGUUUGCGUGUGCGCGUGUGCCUGCUCCCAUGUGUGCCUGUUUGCGGUGUGUCUGCUCCCAUGUGUGCCUCUGCCUGUUCCUGCUUGUGCUCCCAUGUGUGCAAGUGAGUGAGUGACAGAAUUUGUCGUAUUUACAUUUUUUUUUUUACAGACACACUUAUCCAGAGUGACAUAAAGGAGCUAUUACGGUUAAGUGCCAUGCUCAUGGGCACAUCGCCAGAUUUUUCACCUAGUCGGCUCGGGGAUUCGAACCAGCGGACCUUUCCGUUACUGGCCUAACGCUCUUAACCCCUAGGCUAUCUGCCUCCCCCCAGUGUUCCGUACUCCUCCAUGGUUACAGCAGGCAGGUUACUAGGGAGAGGGUCUGGUCAGCCCAACACUCAGGCCAGCACUCAGGCCAGCACUCAGGCCAGCACUCAGGUCAGCACUCAGGCCAGCACUCAGGUCAGCACUCAGGCCAGCCCUCAGGCCAGCCCUCAGGCCAGCCCUCAGGCCAGCCCUCAGGUCAACACUAACCUACCAUUAACCCAACACUUGUUUUGGCUCUAUACUCCAGCACUUAGAAAUGGUGUUGUGUGUUCCUUUCAAACAACUCAACUGUAGUUUCAUCUGUCCACAGAAUAUUUGUCAGUAGCGCUGUGGAACAUCCAAGUGCUCUUUUGUAAACUUCAGACGUGCAGCAAUGUUUUUUUGGGGGACAGCAGUGGCUUCUUCUGUGGUGUCCUCCCAUGAACACCAUUCUUGUUUAGUGUUUUACGUAUCGUAGACUCGUCAACAGAGAUGUUAACAUGUUCCAGAGAUUUCUGUAAGUCUUUAGCUGACACUCUAGGAUUCUUCUUUACCUCAUUGAGCAUUCUGCGCUGGGCUCUUGCAAUCAUCUUUGCAGGACUGCCACUCCCAGGGAGAGUAGCAACAGUGCUGAACUUCCUCCAUUUAUAAGGCUUUUAGAGAUACUUUUGUAUCCCUUUCCAGCUUUAUGCAAGUCAACAAUUCUUAAUCUUGGGUCUUCUGAGAUCUCUUUUGUUCGAGGCAUGGUUCACAUCAGUCAAUGCUUCUUGUGAAUAGCAAACUCAAGUUUUGUGAGUGUUUUUUAAAGGGCAGGGCAGCUCUAACCAACAUCUCCAAUCUCAUCUCGUCUCAUUGGUUGGACUCCAGGUUAGCUGACUCCUGACUCCAAUUAGCUUUCGGAGAAGUCAUUAGCCUAGGGAUUCACAUACUUUUUCCAACCUACACUGUGAAUGUUUAAAUGAUGUAUUGAUAAAAGAAUGUAUAUGUUUAAAGAUAAUAAUUAAAUAAUUCUACCCUGAAACUUAACUAUUA
rnacentral:lncRNA from 1 species